UAUUCUAAAUACGUUGUUCUAAAGACAUUCUGCAAUACUCAUGCAGCAAGAAGAUUCUUCAUAAAACAUUUAUACAUAACAACAUCAGCUUAUUAUUGCAUAAAGAGUACUAACAAGUAUACAGGUAUUCGUGCGUAUCUAACCUUAACGCGUAAGCGAGAAAAAUCCUGACGCCUAUGAAAGGAGGGAGAGAGAGAGAGAAAGAGAGAGAGAGAGAGAGAGAGAAAACGUGUUGGUAGAAUACAUCGGAUUGACGUACGAAGCAUAAGGGCGAGGGAGACGGGGAGAGUCUUCAGAGCGCGAACACGUCGAGGGAACUCGCAGAACGGCCGUGCUCGUGACUUCACUCGAACCCGCCAUUUUUCAUCACACGGCGUAGCUGCAUCAUCAUUUUCUGAUACGAAGCGUAUACCGACCUAUCGCGCCGACCGGCACCUCCUCCGGCGACUCAUCCGCGGAAAUACAGUCAUUCUCCUCUCACAUCUAUCGCGACGAUAACGAGAAGGCACACUCAAGCUCUGAUAUUGUAAACGAUAUAUCAAGAUUGAGAUUUGCAUUUUGUUCAAUAUUAAUAACUCAUAGAACACUUGCACA